rnacentral:rRNA from 1 species
GAGAAGCUUGCUUCUUGGGUGGCGAGUGGCGAACGGGUGAGUAACAUAUCGGAACGUACCGAGUAAUGGGGGAUAACUAAUCGAAAGAUUAGCUAAUACCGCAUAUUCUCUGAGGAGGAAAGCAGGGGACCUUCGGGCCUUGCGUUAUUUGAGCGGCCGAUAUCUGAUUAGCUAGUUGGUGGGGUAAAGGCCUACCAAGGCGACGAUCAGUAGCGGGUCUGAGAGGAUGAUCCGCCACACUGGGACUGAGACACGGCCCAGACUCCUACGGGAGGCAGCAGUGGGGAAUUUUGGACAAUGGGCGCAAGCCUGAUCCAGCCAUGCCGCGUGUCUGAAGAAGGCCUUCGGGUUGUAAAGGACUUUUGUCAGGGAAGAAAAGGACAGGGUUAAUACCCCUGUCUGAUGACG